GUAGCAGAGUUUUGCACAAAGAAAUUUUGCUCCACUUCUACAUCUCCAAUUCUAGUCUUUACAGCUGGACAAGCUCCAUGUAAAUCACCUUGUUGAUUGUUUGCAGCUCUGAUUACCCAACCAUGGUUGAUAUCAAUUGGCCACUUAUUCUUCUCAUAUAUCUUCCUUGACAUGAUGUUGAUUUCAGAUCCAUGAUCAACCAGGGCCAAAAUUGGAUCUUUAAAGUCCCCCAAUCUUACAUAUGUUUUUGUAGUAGCUCUAGCCCAAUAAGGAACUGAAUAACUACUACUCUCUAUU
rnacentral:lncRNA from 1 species